AUACGGAGGGUGCAAGCGUUAUCCGGAUUUAUUGGGUUUAAAGGGUGCGCAGGCGGACCUGUCAGUCAGUGGUGAAAUCCCGGGGCUCAACCCCGGAACUGCCAUUGAUACUACAGGUCUUGAAUACGGCUGAAGUAGGCGGAAUGUAGCAUGUAGCGGUGAAAUGCAUAGAUAUGCUACAGAACACCGAUCGCGAAGGCAGCUUACUAAGCCGAUAUUGACGCUCAGGCACGAAAGCGUGGGUAGCGAACAGGAUUAGAAACCCUUGUAGUCC
rnacentral:rRNA from 1 species